rnacentral:rRNA from 1 species
UGGCGACCGGCGCGACGGGUGAGUAACGCGUAUCCAACCUUCCCCUAUACUAGAGAAUAGCCCGGCGAAAGUCGGAUUAAUGCUCUAUGUCUUCUUUGAUGGCAUCUGACGAGAAGCAAAGGUUUACCGGUAUAGGAUGGGGAUGCGUCUGAUUAGGUUGUUGGCGGGGUAACGGCCCACCAAGCCUACGAUCAGUAGGGGUUCUGAGAGGAAGGUCCCCCACAUUGGUACUGAGACACGGACCAAACUCCUACGGGAGGCAGCAGUGAGGAAUAUUGGUCAAUGGGCGAGAGCCUGAACCAGCCAAGUAGCGUGCAAGGAUGACUGCCCUAUGGGUUAGUAAACUGCUUUUAGUAGGGGAAUAAAGUGAGGUAUGCAUACCUUUUUGUAUGUACCCUAUGAAUAAGGACCGGCUAAUUCCGUGCCAGCCGCUGC